AUUGAACGCUGGCGGCAUGCCUUACACAUGCAAGUCGUACGGUAGCAGGUCUUCGGAUGCUGACGAGUGGCGAACGGGUGAGUAAUACAUCGGAACGUGCCUAGUAGUGGGGGAUAACUACUCGAAAGAGUGGCUAAUACCGCAUGAGAUCUACGGAUGAAAGCAGGGGAUCGCAAGACCUGGUGCUACUAGAGCGGCCGAUGGCAGAUUAGGUAGUUGGUGGGAUAAAAGCUUACCAAGCCGACGAUCUGUAGCUGGUCUGAGAGGACGAUCAGCCACACUGGGACUGAGAAACGGCCCAGACUCCUACGGGAGGCAGCAGUGGGGAAUUUUGGACAAUGGGCGCAAGCCUGAUCCAGCAAUGCCGCGUGCAGGAUGAAGGCCUUCGGGUUGUAAACUGCUUUUGUACGGAACGAAAAGCCCCGGGUUAAUACCCUGGGGUCAUGACGGUACCGUAAGAAUAAGCACCGGCUAACUACGUGCCAGCCGCCGCCGUAA
rnacentral:rRNA from 1 species